rnacentral:rRNA from 1 species
GACGAACGCUGGCGGCGUGCUUAACACAUGCAAGUUGAACGGAAAGGCCCUGCUUGCAGGGUACUCGAGUGGCGAACGGGUGAGUAACACGUGGGUGAUCUGCCCUGCACUUCGGGAUAAGCCUGGGAAACUGGGUCUAAUACCGGAUAGGAGCCAUUUUUAGUGUGAUGGUUGGAAAGUUUUUUCGGUGUAGGAUGAGCUCGCGGCCUAUCAGCUUGUUGGUGGGGUAAUGGCCUACCAAGGCGGCGACGGGUAGCCGGCCUGAGAGGGUGGACGGCCACAGUGGGACUGAGACACGGCCCAGACUCCGACGGGAGGCAGCAGUGGGGAAUAUUGCACAAUGGGCGCAAGCCUGAUGCAGCGACGCCGCGGGGGGGAGGACGGCCUUCGGGUUGUAAACUCCUUCCGCUAGGGACGAAGCUUUUUGUGACGGUACCUAGAUAAGAAGCACCGGCUAACUACGUG